GGCGAUAGAACCAGGAAGUUAAGCAUGCUCAGGCUGAAGCAAUGACAGGAUGGGUGACCGGCCGGGAAGUUAGACGAUUUCGAUUGAGUACGGUGGAGCAGUGAGGAUGGAUGCUUAGAGAUUAAAUUGUCAAAUAAUUCAAGCGUUACUGCUAUGUAUAUUUCAAGCGCUACUACUAGGGAACCCUAGUAGUGUGUGUUUAACAUGGGAGAUA
rnacentral:lncRNA from 1 species